rnacentral:rRNA from 1 species
GUGCCAGCCGCCGCGGUAAUACGGAGGAUCCGAGCGUUAUCCGGAUUUAUUGGGUUUAAAGGGAGCGUAGGCGGAUGUUUAAGUCAGUUGUGAAAGUUUAAGGCUCAACCUUGAAAUUGCAGUUGAUACUGGACGUCUUGAGUGCAUUAAAUGUGGGGGGAGUUCGUGGUGUAGCGGUGAUAUGAUUAGAUAUAAAGAAGAACUCCAAUUGAGAAGGCAGCUCACAGGACUGUAACUGACGCUGAUGCUCGA